CAGUAAAUAGUUUAUUAAAAUAUUAAUUUUGGGGAUUAAAGAUAUAUUUGUUAUUUUACUGA
rnacentral:tRNA from 1 species